CAAUAACAGAAGGAGUUGCUGUCAUUCUUGCAUGACCCUUGCAAAUCUAGCAACGGAAAUUCGAAGGCAAAACUUUCAGUUUCAUUUGGUUCUGGUUAAUGUUGAAGAUGGAAAAGCACAAACAAAAUGUGAAAAUGAAAGCAGAUAUGAUAGGAGAUCAUAUAGACAUUUGGUGAUCCAAAAAUAACUACUAGAGUUCGUGAAACAAGACUGAUUGCUGGGACACAUUUUUGUAGA